UUAUUACUCCCUCCGUCUGGAAAAGCUUGUCCCUCAAAUGGAUGUAUCUAACACUAACUUGGUGCUAGAUACAUCCAUUUGAGGGACAAGUUUUUCCGGACGGAGGGAGUAUAAG
rnacentral:pre_miRNA from 1 species